CUGCCCUGGGCGGGCUUGCACCCCCACACCCAAGUGAGCGGCCUGCUCACUCCUCAGCUGCAGGAGCCAGACAUGUGGAGUCCCAGCAGAGGCCAACCUGUGUCUCUUCAUCUCCGUGAGAAAGGUGCCCCCGAAGUGAAAGAGAUGGCCUGGUGGAAAGCCUGGGCCACUGCAUCUCUGUCCCUGUAGCGAAGAGAAGAUACUGAUUCCUAAGCUCCUACUCUGAGAACACAAAUAUCUGCAAUACCUCGGUAAGCCCUAGGCCUGAGUGUGAGGUUGCAGGCACUUCCAUGGCCCCAUGCAGGUGUCCAAGUUCCCU
rnacentral:lncRNA from 1 species